rfam:Ferroglobus placidus DSM 10642, complete genome.
GCCGACGGCCAUAGGGAUCGGGGAAACACCCGGUCUCAUUCCGAACCCGGAAGUUAAGCCCGAUCCCGUUCCGCGUUGUACUGCGCUCCGAGAGGGCGCGGGAAGCGCGGAAGCUGUCGGCA